rnacentral:lncRNA from 1 species
AUGCCGUGUGUUUCCAGGCUCCCGAGGUCACAGAGCAAGGUCACCUUCCAGGCACAGCCCUCGGGGGAGCCCGAGGCUCCUGAGCUCAGCACCGUGAAGCCCAGCACCCCUGCUCGGCGCCCGUGCUCUGGGUGCUGGGCCUCCCCUUGCCCACGUGCCCACCAGUGUGCGCCUGCAGACCCCAGCAGGGGUGCCCAGGGCCCUGUGGCUGUGAGAGCCGGGGAGGCCCAGGGCAGGACCCCAGCAUGUCCCUCGCAGCACGCCCUGAGCCCUGGCUUGCCAGUGAGGCCCUGCGCCCCCGAGACUCCAGCUCCUUCCUCAACGGAGCCCCCUGUUCAGGGGCAGCCUCCCCCCUGGGACCCUUUCCGGGACGGGAAGGAAGGGACGGGGAGCUCAGCCCUGGCCGCUGCCUGGCCUGCCCCAGGGCCUGGGCUGCUUCUGGGGGCCCCGCCAUGGCUGGCCGGCCGCUUUCCUCACCUUCCCGAGUGUCCUCUGCCUUCUCCGACCUCAGCUGCGUCCCCUCGGGGUCCCUGCCCCUCGUCAGCGGGCACGUCGCACAGCGAUGCAGCGUCUCCAGGGCCCCUGCUGACUUUGCUGGGAAGGGAAGUCCACCUGCAGACGGCAGGUGGUCACACUGGCACCUCCCUGCGCCCCACAGCCUGCGGCCUCUGGUCUCAUGUGUCCACCGGCUUCUUCUCCCACGGAGGGUGCGGCCAGGGCCGUGGGGGCCACAGCGAUUCCGAGGCCUCCUGCUCCGGGUCCCAGAGAUGCCACGCCGGGCGCUGGGGAGGGCUCCUGGCCGCGCUCACGCUCUCUCCUCUGCCGCCCUCUCCUGGCCCAGGGAGGCGAGGCCCCGGGGGCGCGGGCAGGAGGGAUGCAUCUGCUGGGUUCUCUGUGCCAUCGGCCGGUGUGGCAGGGACAGAGCAGCAAACUGUAAAAGACGACGUGACUUCGGCGUCCGAGCUAGGGAAUCCGAGGCUGUGGGGGGAGCAGGGCACCCGUGCAGGGCUGACGGAAGGUUCUGGAGCUUCCGGGACAGGCGGGGCCAGGAGAGACAAUGAGGAGGGUGUUGCCACCAGACUCAGUGCGCUGCUGUGGAGGAGCCCAGCCCACAGGCCCGUGGCCAAGGGUCAGGACUGCUCUGGGCGUCGCUGCGCCUGA